rnacentral:rRNA from 1 species
GUGGGGAGCAAACAGGAUUAGAUACCCNNGUAGUCCACGCCGUAAACGAUGUGUGCUAAGUGUUAGAGGGUUUCCGCCCUUUAGUGUGCAGCAAACGCAUUAAGCACUCCGCCUGGGGAGUACGGCCGCAAGGCUGAAACUCAAAGGAAUUGACGGGGGCCCGCACAAGCGGUGGAGCAUGUGGUUUAAUUCGAAGCAACGCGAAGAACCUUACCAGGUCUUGACAUCUCCUGACAAUCCUAGAGAUAGGACGUUCCCCUUCGGGGGACAGGAUGACAGGUGGUGCAUGGUUGUCGUCAGCUCGUGUCGUGAGAUGUUGGGUUAAGUCCCGCAACGAGCGCAACCCUUGAUCUUAGUUGCCAGCAUUUAGUUGGGCACUCUAAGGUGACUGCCGGUGACAAACCGGAGGAAGGUGGGGAUGACGUCAAAUCAUCAUGCCCCUUAUGACCUGGGCUACACACGUGCUACAAUGGAUGGUACAAAGGGCAGCAAAACCGCGAGGUCGAGCCAAUCCCAUAAAACCAUUCUC